rnacentral:rRNA from 1 species
AACUCCGCAAUACGCGAAAGCGUGACGGGGUCAUCCCGAGUGCUGUCCGCUGAGGAUGGCUUUUCCCCAGUGCACAUAGCUGGGGGAAUAAGGAGAGGGCAAGUCUGGUGUCAGCCGCCGCGGUAAUACCAGCUCUCCGAGUGGUGGGGAUGCUUAUUGGGCCUAAAGCAUCCGUAGCCGGCUGGGCAAGUCCCCUGUUAAAUCCAGCGAUUUAAUCGUUGGCCUGCGGGGGAUACUGUUCGGCUAGGGGGCGAGAGAGGCCGACGGUAUUCUCGGGGUAGGGGUGAAAUCCUAUAAUCCCGGGAAGACCACCAGUGGCGAAGGCUGUCGGCUAGAGCGCGCUCGACGGUGAGGGAUGAAAGCUGGGGGAGCGAACCGGAUUAGAUACCCGGGUAGUCCCAGCCGUAAACGAUGCAGGCUAGGUGUUAGGGCGGCUACGUGCCGCUCUAGUGCCGCAGGGAAACUGUUUAGCCUGUCGCCUGGGGAGUACGGCCGCAAGGCUGAAACUUAAAGGAAUUGGCGGGGGAGCACCACAAGGGGUGAAGCUUGCGGUUUAAUUGGAGUCAACGCCGGAAAUCUCACCGGGGGCGACAGCAGAAUGAAAGCCAGAUUAAAGGUCUU